rnacentral:rRNA from 1 species
CUACGGGCGGCUGCAGCAGGGAAUAUUGCACAAUGGACGGAAGUCUGAUGCAGCGACGCCGCGUGGAUGAUGAAGGCCCUCGGGUUGUAAAAUCCUUUUCAGGGGGACGAGGAAGGACGGUACCCUUGGAAUAAGCGUCGGCUAACUACGUGCCAGCAGCCGCGGUAAGACGUAGGACGCAAGCGUUAUCCGGAUUUACGGGGCGUAAAGCGUCUGUAGGCGGAAUGGUAAGUUGGACGUGAAAGCUCCGGGCUCAACUCGGAGAGGUCGUUCAAUACUGCCAAACUAGAGGGCAUCAGAGGAGCGUGGAAUUUCCGGUGUAGCGGUAAAAUGCGCAGAUAUCGGAAGGAACACCAAUGGCGAAGGCAGCGCUCUGGGAUGAACCUGACGCUAAGAGACGAAAGCUAGGGGAGCGAACAGGAUUAGAUACCCUUGUAGUC